rnacentral:rRNA from 1 species
UACGUAGGGGGCAAGCGUUGUCCGGAAUCAUUGGGCGUAAAGCGCGCGUAGGCGGCCCGGUAAGUCCGCUCUGAAAGUCCAGGGCUCAACCCUGGAAAGCGGGUGGAUACUGCCGGGCUAGAAUCCGGAAGAGGCGAGUGGAAUUCCUGGUGUAGCGGUGGAAUGCGCAGAUAUCGAGAGGAACACCUGCGGCGAAGGCGGGUUGCUGGGCUGACACUGACGCUGAGGCGCGAAAGCUAGGGGAGCGAACGGG